UUCUGUGACGCCCACAAGUGUAUGGUCACAAUUAUAUUUUUUUUUGUGAAUUGUUUUGAUGUAAAAGACCUGGUUUUAUGGUGGUAUUGCACUUUUCAUUUAGAGUUAUGAACAAUGUAAUUGCGUGGCAUUGCCACAAGGGGGAGAUAGCGCUGACUGCGAUAGGUCGUUGCAACGCUUCUGUGCCUCAGACGAGGAAGAGCCUGCAGACCGAACGCAACUCAUGUCUCCUGUCUCUGCUUUUCUGUUAAAAAUACAGGUUAGUAGUUCAAGUUUGCUCAUGGCAAUGUACAUAUAAAGGCAAGAAACCUUUUUCUGUCUUUGGUUAAAGACCGCAAAUGUUGUGAGAGAGUGUGUUUUCACCAACUGAGAGUAUGCUAACUAUACCGCCAUUUGUAAUGGAAGCCGCUAUUUCACUCGUAGUCUAAAUAGGCAGCUGGUCUUAUUACCCGUUUUAUUUUGUGACAAAUGCAGCUCUUGGACACUUCUUUUAUCCUGACAUUAUUUGAAGUUAUAGUUGAUUAGAACCUACCCAGUUCUUAUGUGUCAAAUGUAAAUAGUCUGAUGUAUACUGUUGUGGAUGAUUGUAAACUGUUUGUGAGCAGUGAUAGCAUAUUUUUGUUUAUUGGUUACUAAUGUAAUAUAUUGUUUGAAUCUGUUAAAGUAUAAAGAAUGCAUAAUGGUAUAUAAGCGGGUUAAUUGCAGUGUUAAUGGUGCUGCACAGAAAUGUUUUUGAUGCUGAACGGCACUAGAAUGUGGUUACAGAUUUAUUGUAAAUAAGGACACUCAUACAGUGAUUAUUUUGUAAGUUUAUUCUUGCGAGAGUGCAAGGUAACCAAAAGAGUUUGAGCUAUGGACUUAAUUGAAUGUGUUUUUGUUGUUAAAAGAGAAAUGUGUGAGUCUGAACGAAAAGAAAAGUGACUGUUUAAUUCUGUUAAUAAAUCAGACGAGGAAGAGCCUGCAGACCGAACGCAACUCAUGUCUCCUGUCUCUGCUUUUCUGUUAAAAAUACAGUUUCAAAACAGGCCCAUCGAAGGCCUGUAACAUAAUUUUGGUGGCCCGUACGGGGAUCAGCAUGCUACGAGGGCGACUGCUGAUCCUUUAAUCAACGAACCAGAGACAGCCAUCGCAGGGCAGGCGUGUUGGAACAGCAGACGUGCAACUGAGGCAGCAGCGGGACCUGUGUCGAGGAGGGGAACCCCUGCUGGAGAGGUGACGGGCUGCGUGUUUGAGCUGACUGCACUGUGAAGAGUUGCUAGCCAAAGAACACACAAUGGAGGACAGUGAAAGAAAAGAACUGGCUUGGCAGAUCAGAAAGAGUCUUUAUGCACUGACAGCAGAGGAACUCUUCCAGAUUGCUACAAACAUCACACCAGUACCUGAUGUGGACCCUGCAAGUGUAAGACGUGGUGAUGAGGAAAGUUGUUUUGAUUAUAUAUGUGCUUAUCUGCGCUGUAAGACAUUGCUUGACUUAGAGGAUCAGGGGUUUUCACACCUACUGUUGUUGAAAGAUGCUAUUAUUCAUCUCAUUGAUAGUCGUACCGCUGAAGUAUCUCACCCUGUAGUCUCAGAGGAAAAUGUUGUUACUCUCACAACACUUAAGCACCCUGAACAGAGUGAUGUACUUACCUCAGCUAUAUUGCCUCUUGAGUCUACUAAUCCACAAGUAACAGAGUAUGAAAUGCUAAAGGCUAACUACGAGGCACUUGGUAAAAAGUUAGCAGAUUUACAAGUGACAACACAAGACACACCCACCCCCACUAUUACACAGUCACUUCAGCCUCGAGCUGAGAGCGUGACAAACAGCCACUCCACCACAGACACGCGACACUCUAGGCCUGAUCACAUGGUUUCCCUAAGAGACCUGCCAUUUUUGCAACGCAGAGAGUUUAAAGUACAUGGGGGUCAGGUUGGGGACAUUGCAUCUGACAUUAGCUACCAUGGACUGUGUAAGCAGAUUGAGGAGGGGCUCAAGGUGAAACACACAGAGGGAGAGAUCAUCCAAGGUGUGCUCCGUAUUAUCAAGCCCGGACAGUUUAAGGACAUGUUGAUCAGUAAAGAUGACUUGACCCUCAUUGAACUCAAAAGCUUGCUACGUUCACACCUGAGUGAGAAGAGUGGGAGUGAGUUAUUUCAGGAAUUGUUGAGCACUAAGCAACAUGACCAUGAAACUCCACAACAGUUCCUCUACAGGAUGAUUGGACUGAAGCAGAAAGUCAUGUUUGCAUCCAGGCAGGAUAACAUGGACGUUGCGUAUGAGGCACGUACGAUUCAAAAUGUGUUUCUACGCACCAUUCAUCAAGGUCUUCUGCCAAAAUAUAGUGACAUUCGUAAUGAACUCAAGCCACUACUAUCAGACUACAGUGUAUCAGAUGAAGCCUUGAUAAGGCAAGUGAACAAAGUGUCAAGUGAAGAGAGUGAGCGACAGCGAAGACUGGGAUAUUCCACUCGACAAAAGGUAACACAUGCUCAUACUGCUCUACUUGAACCUGCUAAAGAUACUGAAAUGACUGACUGUAAAUCUAAGAGUAAGAAUAAAGUCAUAGAAGAGCUGGCUGCAAAGGUGGAAACCCUGACCAAAGUGGUGGAGUCUCUCACAGCCAGUCAGGCUCGUGAACCCACUUGUCAGUGUGCACACCCAAAGCAGAAGCCCAGACAAACUGCAAAACAGUACGGCUGUCCCAAGUGUAUUGAAAGUGGGGCUGCUUCAUGCACUCAUUGUUUUAUCUGUGGGGAGACAGGUCACAGGGCAGUGGGAUGUCUCAAACGAAGCCAACCCAGAAACUCUAGUUGGCCUCCUGCUGAUACACACACUCCCAGAACCAGUGGACAGCCAGACCCAAAAUCACCAGGUAUGUGCUCAGAAGAGUUUGCCCAUGUCAGGAGUAGUUGGGCGACACCUCCAACGAAAAAUGCAGUCACAGGGGCAAGUGAGAGAGUGGCACAGCUUGUUGGAAAAAAAUGUAAAAUCAAGUGUUACAUUCAUAGCUUUGCAGUGGACUGUUUAUUGGACACAGGUGCACAAGUGAGUCUCAUUGAUCGCCAGUGGGCAAAAACCUACCUCUCUGACCACAAACUCCGGCCACUGACAGAACUUAUUGGAGAUAAAGCUCUUAGUGUGCUUGGUGUUAAUGGCCAGCCAUUACCCUACGACGGCUGGGUGGGCGUGAUGGUGAGUCUCCCAGAGAAUAGUGACCCAAACUUGACUGUACAAGUCCCCUUUUUAGUAAGCAGUGUGCCCAUGGACUGCCCCCUGAUUGGUUUCAAUGUAAUUGAACAGCUGAUACUGGGGCCAAAUGCUAGUACAAACCUCAUACCCACCAUUGUGAGCCUCCUGCGCAGCGCAAUGAACCUCCAGGACGACACAGCAACGGCACUGGUCAACUUCAUUCAGACCAAGCUUACCAGUGAUAACGGGGUCAGCCAGAGUGUCCUAAAAGUGGGCCUGCAUGAUGUAGUAAUCCCAGCUGGUCAAGUUAAGUAUGUUAAGUGUAAAGUCUCCUCUACAGUUGACAUGUCCAACCCCCUCGUGCUCUUUGAACCAACUGAGAGCAACCCACAACUGCAACAGCUUGAUGUUGGCAACAGCCUCCUCACAGUUUGUGAUGCCAGAGUCCCAUAUGUCAAAGUACCUAUUGGCAACCACACAAAGCAUGAUGUGACCCUCACCGGCAGAGCAGCCCUUGGAACUAUUGAACCAAUAGCAGGAGUCGUACAAACUGACUUACCAAACCUCGGUGAGCCCAAAGUGACUCAAGAUGUCGACUCUGAUGUAUCUCAAAUACAGCAGCAGUGCAGUGAAGAUCAAGCAACGCAGGAAUGGGAUCCACCUGUUGACGUUAGCCACCUGACUGAAGACCAACAAACUGUUGCCAAGAAAAUGUUAAGGGAAGAGUCAGGGGCUUUUGCACGUGAUGAAAGCGACAUGGGGUGCAUUCCCAACUUGGAAAUGACAAUAACACUCAAAGACACAACUCCAAUUCAGAAAUCAUACACCUCAAUUCCAAAACCCCUCUAUAAGGAGGUUAAAGAGUAUAUUGAGGACCUCCUAGCAAGAGGAUGGAUUGUAAAGUCUAGAUCUCCUUACUCUGCGCCAAUAGUUUGUGUGCGUAAAAAGGAUGGCUCCCUAAGGCUCUGUAUAGACUACCGUCUCCUGAACCAACGCACAGUACCUGAUCGCCACCCAUUACCAAGAAUCCAGGACCUCAUUGACACCUUGGGAGGUUACAACUGGUUCUCCAUUUUGGACCAGGGAAAAGCCUAUCACCAGGGCUUUAUAGCAGAAGGAUCACGUCAUCUGACUGCAUUCAUCACCCCCUGGGGCCUUUAUGAAUGGGUGCGAAUUCCCUUCGGCCUUACCAACGCACCUGCUGCAUUCCAACGCAGUAUGGAAGAAAUGCUGGCUCCCCUUCGGGAUGAGUGCUGCAUCCCAUACUUGGAUGACAUCUUGUGCUACGCCAAGACUUUUGAGGAACAUGUGGAAGGGCUGAGGAAAGUCUUGAGAGCCCUGCAGAACUACGGAGUCAAACUCCGGCCGACAAAAUGUGACCUAUUUAAAAGAGAAGUGAGGUAUGUUGGGCGCUUAGUGUCAGCUGAAGGAGUACGCAUCGAUCCAAAAGAUCUCGAGGCGGUGUACGCCCUGAAAAAGGAGACACCUGCCACAGUGGGAGAUGUGAGGAGGAUCGCUGGGUUCCUGAGUUACUAUCGCUCAUAUAUCCAGGAUUUCUCGAGAAUAGCAAAACCCAUCUAUGAGCUUUUGCAACCCAAGAAAACCAAAGAGGAGCAUCUUCUGGGGAAGGUUACAGGACAGAAGGGGAAAGGUGCACAGUUACCAUCCAAAACACCAGUUGAGUGGACCGAGAAGCACCAGGGCGCCCUGUGUAAGUUGAUUGAUAUGUUGGUAAACCCCCCUGUACUUGCCUACCCGGAUUUUGAGCUUCCCUUCGUCCUUCAUACAGACGCAUCUGAUAAGGGACUUGGAGCCGUUCUCUACCAACAUCAGAAUGGGAAGCUCAGAGUGAUUGGAUACGGCUCCCGAACACUGACACCGGCUGAAAAGAAUUACAGACUCCACUCGGGCAAGCUUGAGUUUCUCGCCCUCAAGUGGGCUGUCUGCGAGAAGUUCAGGGAUUACUUGUCCUAUGCCCCGCAUUUUACCAUCUACACAGACAACAAUCCCUUAACUUAUGUCAUGAGUACCGCCAAGUUGAAUGCGGUCGGGUUCAGAUGGGUGGGAGAACUAUCAGAUUUCAGGUUUGAUAUAAGGUACAGACCUGGCAAAGUAAAUGUUGACGCAGACACCCUGUCGAGGAGUCCCCUUGACAUUGACAGAUACGUCACUGAAUGUACAAAAGAGCUCUCCAAAGAAGCUGUUGCCGCUACUUGGGAGGGAUGUGGAGCAGGCAAGCAUGGAGAUGUUGCAUGGAUCGCUGCUCUGGCUCUAGCACAAGGUGACCAGCUUGAACCAGUAAUCCGAGAAAUGGUCACACCCAUCAAUCUGGAUGAACUACAAAGGGCUCAAAGAGCAGACCCUGCGAUUGGUGAGAUCAUGAAAAUGAAAGACUCAGAUCAAAAGCUGACAGAUGACGUGAGGCGGAAUGUGAGAGGUCCUGCCAGGAAAAUGAUGCAUGAGUGGACAAAGCUGAGCUUAGAAGAUGGAGUUCUGUAUCGUAAGACUGCAGAAAAGCGCCAACUAGUCUUACCAGCCAGCUUCAAAUCCCUGGUCCUGAAAUAUCUGCAUGAUGACAUGGGGCAUGUCGGGGUAGAAAGAGUUCUCAGCCUAGCGAGACAACGGUUCUACUGGCCGUACAUGAGGCGAGACAUCGAAGCCUAUGUCACCCGGCAGUGCCCGUGCAUCAAACAAAAGAAACCGGUGACACAUGUCCGAGCUCCCAUGUCCAGCAUUACCACAAGCUCACCAAUGGAAUUGGUUUCAGUUGAUUACCUCCACUUAGAGCCAAGCAGGGGCGGAUACCAGUAUAUCCUAGUUGUGGUAGACCACUUUACUCGGUAUGCCCAGGCCUAUCCAACCCGCAACAAGAGUGGCAAAACUGCAGCUGAAAGGAUUUUCAGUGAUUAUAUCCCCAGAUUUGGCUACCCUUUAAGGCUGCACCAUGAUCAGGGACGGGAGUUCGAGAACGAGCUCUUCCGGACUCUGCAACAGUUGAGCAAUGUGGGGCACUCUCGAACAACCCCAUACCACCCUCAGGGCAACCCAGCUGAACGCUUUAAUCGUACCAUCUUGCAGAUGCUGAGGACCCUGGGUGAAGAGAAAAAAGAAAGAUGGAGAGAGUAUCUCCCACAGAUGGUUCAUGCGUACAAUUGUACGCGCCAUGAAGCAACGGGUUACUCACCAUUCUUUCUGCUUUUUGGUCGACAUCCACGAAUGCCAGUAGACCUCCUGUUCAAGUUGGUUACUGAUGGAGAACCGCAAACUGCAAGAGGUUAUGUUGAGAAAUGGAAAGAACGAAUGACUGAAGCUUACAGGAUUGCGUCUGAAAACAGCCAAAAGUCAAGUGAUCGUGGGAAGAAACACUAUGACCGACACUUGAAAGGAGUGGUACUCCAACCUGGUGACAGAGUACUAGUGCGGAACCUGACUGAGAGGGGUGGUCCUGGCAAGUUAAGGUCCUACUGGGAGAACACCAUUUAUGUGGUGAAGGAACAGAUCAAUGACAGCCCAGUCUACAGAGUGGCCUCAGAGGCAAAUGGGAAAAGAGUGCGUGUUCUGCAUCGCAAUCUAUUGCAUCUUGUCAAUGAGCUUCCUGUGGACUUGCCUGCUGUAAAUAAAGGGGACGGGCCAUCUGCCGUCAAGGAAAAGAAACCAAAACCAGCUCAAAGAGAGACAGAGUUUCAACCCCACUCUGACACAAGUUCCGAUGAGGAUGAGAGUUCAAUGUAUUAUGAGUUGAGGUAUGAUUUGAGGAGUGGAACCAAAGAGGAUGCUCUACAUACCUAUAACCAUACUGAUGGACCCUCAAGGGGAACAGCUGAGUUCAGCAGAGUGGUUAACUGUAGAGCACCUCAGACGACAGAAGCAACAGUAUUGGGGGAACGAACAGCAACAGAUGAAUUGAGGGAAACAGGAAUGGAACAAGAUGGUGGACACCAAAACACUGAACUUGACAAUGACAUGGGAGAGGAGGAACAUGAGGUGGUACGGGAAUCAGGAGUCACCGAAGUGCCUUUCACAGUCGACGGGGGAGAAGUUGGACUGCCGCUUUCAGAAAGGGCACGGUAUACACCCGAUGUGACCCCGCCGACAAAUGAAUCAGUUCUAAGAAGGUCUACUAGAGAACGACGACCUGCUACACAUUUCACAUAUGACACCCUUGGCCAGCCCUCUCUCCGGGUGCACCCAUCAGUCAGUUGUGCUGAAGUGCACGAGUCUCCAAACACAACACACUACACCAUGCCAUCAUAUCCCCUGUUACCUUACUUCCCCCUAGUGCCAUAUCAAAUUCCGACAUCUCACUGGGCACACCCAGGCACCUUCCCUGUAUAUUAUAACCGCCCAAUCUAUACAUGUUAGUAAACAAGGAAUGUGGGUAUGUGGGAAGGGAAUGUGAUUUGAAUUGUUUGAAUAAUGAGUAUAAUGAAUACUAAAGGGUAAAAGGUUAAAUGUCAGGAGCCAUUUUCUUUUUGUUGGGGAGUGUGUGACGCCCACAAGUGUAUGGUCACAAUUAUAUUUUUUUUUGUGAAUUGUUUUGAUGUAAAAGACCUGGUUUUAUGGUGGUAUUGCACUUUUCAUUUAGAGUUAUGAACAAUGUAAUUGCGUGGCAUUGCCACAAGGGGGAGAUAGCGCUGACUGCGAUAGGUCGUUGCAACGCUUCUGUGCCUCAGACGAGGAAGAGCCUGCAGACCGAACGCAACUCAUGUCUCCUGUCUCUGCUUUUCUGUUAAAAAUACAGGUUUUACAGCUAGACCAGCUUUAAUGGCCUGGCGGCUGUACAUGCCCGUGGAGGCCGAUGAUUAUGUGCACAUGGCAAAGCACCGCCGUGCACUUUAUGUUGCCAGCUCCCAAAUCUGAGCCGCUGCUGCUGAGAGCUCUGGCAGGUCAAAAGGAAGUGACAGUGUCGUGGGGAAUGCCUGGCCAGUGACUAUAAAAUAGUCAGGGAGGUGAAGAAUAUCACUUUUCCCUUUUGGAGCUGAUUGGUAAUACAUUCUCGGAUAGGCUGGGCAGGAAGCCAGGCUGUCCCAGAGACGGCUAAUUGCAGACUAACGCAUCGACUCCAAAACCACAGGUCGAGCUGCAGCCCACAGGACCCCACUGAGCUGCCCAGUUCAACGCCUGCCCAUCACUCAGGCAGACAGUGUCUGAUGAGACACGACAUCGACCUGGCACGCUCAACGUGUUUGCAUUUCUCACAGCAGACAGCCAGGCAGGCAGGCAGG